rnacentral:snoRNA from 1 species
GAAUUGCUGUGACGACUCACAAGGACGGUAUCUGAGCGAGGCAUCUAUCCUCGCAUGAUUAUACCUGAUCUGAGACAAAAAUGUCUGAGCAAAUU